rnacentral:rRNA from 1 species
AUUGAACGCUGGCGGCAGGCUUAACACAUGCAAGUCGAACGAGUGGCGGACGGGUGAGUAAUGUAUGGGGACUGCCCGAUAGAGGGGGAUAACUACUGGAAACGGUGGCUAAUACCGCAUACUAUCGGAUAACCCAUAUGGGAUUAGCUAGUAGGGGGGGUAAAGGCUAACCUAGGCGACGAUCUCUAGCUGGUCUGAGAGGAUGAUCAGCCAAACUGGAACUGAGACACGGCCCAGAUUCCUCCGGAGGCGGACGUGGGGAAUAUUGCAAAUUGGGCGCAGUCCGGAUGCAGCCAUGCGGGGUGUAUGAGGAAGGCCUUAGGGUUGUAAAGUACUUUCAGUCGGGAGGCGUUACCGACAGAAGAAGCACCGGCUAACUCCGUGCCAGCAGCCGCGGUAAUAC